UCCCUGGUGGCUCAGUUGGUAAAGAAUCUGCCUGCAAUGCAGGAGACCCUGGUUCAACUCCUGGGUUGGGAA
rnacentral:tRNA from 1 species